UACGUAGGUGGCAAGCGUUGUUCGGAAUUAUUGGGCGUAAAGGGCGCGUAGGCGGUCUUGUAAGUCAGCUGUGAAAGCCCGGGGCUCAACCCCGGAGGGUCGGCUGAUACUGCGUGACUCGAGGACUGUAGAGGAGAUCGGAAUUCACGGUGUAGCAGUGAAAUGCGUAGAUAUCGUGAGGAAGACCAGUUGCGAAGGCGGAUCUCUGGGCAGUUCCUGACACUGAGGCACGAAGGCCAGGGGAGCAAACGGG
rnacentral:rRNA from 1 species